ACGGUAUAACAGUAGCCUACAGAGCGGCGACCGGUCGUUGAUGGGGAAGGGCAGUAGCCGCAGCAGCAGUCGGGCGCACCGACCGAAGCAUGCUCCAGCGCAACCAUGACUUGCUCGGCGUCAGAUAGCGAGAAGAUCGUGAUCAACUGCGGCGGGAUUCGACACGAGACCUACCGGAGCACCCUCAAGACUUUGCCGGGGACGCGCUUGUCUUGGCUGACCGAACCCGACGCCUACAGCAACUUCGACUACGACCCAAAGUCCGACGAGUUCUUCUUCGACCGCCACCCGGCCACCUUCGCCUUCAUCCUUAACUAUUACCGCACCGGCAAGCUCCACUGCCCCAAUGAUGUAUGUGGGCCGCUCUUUGAGGAGGAGCUCGCCUUCUGGGGCAUCGAUGAGACGGACGUGGAGGCGUGCUGCUGGAUGAACUACCGACAGCACCGUGACGCUGAGGAAGCCCUGGACAGCUUCGAAACCCCCGAGCCGGACGCACCCGAGGAUGACCCGGCGCUCACCGGCGGGGCGGACGGCGACCUGAAGCGGCUGUGCAUGCAGGAGGAUGGCCGCAAGGCGACGUGGUGGGAGGUGUGGCAGCCCAACAUGUGGGCGCUGUUCGAGGACCCCUACUCCUCCAAAUACGCCCGGUAUGUGGCAUUUGCCUCGCUCUUCUUCAUCCUUCUCUCCAUCUCCACCUUCUGCCUGGAGACCCACGAAGCCUUCAACACCAUCUACAAUAAAACAGAAAAUGUCACUGUUGGCAAUGUGACACAUGAGGAGAUAGUGUAUGAGGUAGUCACGGAUGGCUGGCUGACAUAUGUGGAGGGUGUCUGCGUCAUUUGGUUCACCAUUGAGGUAAUGGCGCGUGUUGUCUUCUGCCCUGACAAGGCAGAGUUCUUUCGCAGCGCCCUUAACAUCAUUGACUUUGUGGCCAUCGUGCCCUUUUACUUGGAGGUGGCGCUGAGUGGCCUCUCCUCCAAAACAGCCAAAGACGUGCUAAGCUUCCUGCGUGUGGUGCGCUUUGUCCGUAUCCUGCGUAUAUUCAAGCUGACCCGCCACUUUGUCGGUUUACGGGUCCUGGGCCACACUCUGCGGGCGAGCACCAAUGAAUUCCUGCUGCUCAUCAUCUUCCUGGCGCUGGGCGUCCUCAUCUUUGCUACCAUGAUCUACUAUGCGGAACGCAUUGGUGCCGACCCUGACGAUCCAACAGCUGCAGCUCACACCAACUUCAAGAACAUCCCCAUCGGUUUCUGGUGGGCUGUGGUAACCAUGACCACACUGGGUUAUGGGGAUAUGUAUCCUGAGACAUGGUCAGGAAUGCUGGUGGGUGCCCUCUGCGCCUUGGCUGGUGUGCUGACCAUCGCUAUGCCUGUACCUGUCAUUGUCAACAACUUUGGCAUGUACUACUCCCUGGCUAUGGCCAAGCAGAAGCUCCCCAAGAAGAGGAACAAGCACAUCCCCCGAGCGCCACAGCCUGGCAGCCCCAACUACUGCAAGCCAGAUGCCCUGGCCAUGGCAACCGCCUCGCCACACAGGCUGAUGGGCAAUGUACUUGGGCCAGGAAUGGUGGGAUCCGGCAGCAUGAUGGGUACUGGAGACUGCCCAUUGGCACAGGAGGAGAUUAUCGAGAUCAACAGGGCAGAUUCCAAGCAGAAUGGCGAUGCGGCAGCUAAUGCGGCCGCCCUUGCCAACGAGGACUGCCCCACCAUCGACCAGGUCCUUGGGGAUGAGCGCAGCCCAGCCACCGGGGGCCUGGGCUCCACCACCAGCCGCGAGCGCUACCCUCAUGACAGGGCCUGCUUCCUGCUGAGUGCCGGGGAGUUCCAGCGCACGACAGAUGGGAACGUUCGUAAAGAGAACUGUUCUGAAAGCCCUGUGCUUAUCAGAUAUAUGCAAAAAGAAGCAGUAACUGUGAACUAAUGCUAAAACAUGAAAAAAACAAAUCCAGCUUCUUCCAUCAUUGUCUCAACUCCUCUUCUGCAAGAGAGAGGACAGACCAUCCUCCUCCCAAGAUACCUCCUCACCAAAAUGCCCCUGUUCAUCGUCUCAUUUGUCUGCUUCUUCAUUAUGUCUGUAACUUCAUGCUGCCCAUGUCAUGUUUAUGUCCCUCUGUCCUGUUCUAUUGUCUACACUUGCAUUUAAACUGCAGUGAGUUCAGGAGGAUGCCUCUGCAAUGUGAGAAUGCAAUGAUUCGUUACAAGCUCCCACAAAAGAUGAGGAUCAGGGCCAGAUAAACCUACUAGGGGGCCCUGGGCAAACUGAGCUGUGGCCCCUUUUGAACAAACCCACUCUAACCCAGCUCUUUUUGUUUGUUUCAUUUACACUUGACUAAAUGUAAACGUAUGUAAGAAUACUCACCAUGUAAGCAUAAGUGUGUUUUUAUGUCCAAAACACUGUGCUCAGGUUAGCUCUGCUGGCCUGACUUCAGUGCUUGGACUCAAAGAACCUUGCUAGUCUAGCAACAUCAAGGCUACAAACAAUCCACAAUACAACACUCUGUAGGAACCUACAAUACUCUCACUAUUUAAAAAAUUACCCGAUGUUUUGAAAAUGUGUAUGUCCAGUCCUUGGAUAUAACAUGACCCCCACUUUUUCAGUAGUAAUGUCUUGCCUCAUAUUCUGGCUAUUCCAUUAUGAAGUGCAAGAUCAGGUAAAAAGUCAGAAAAACUAAAAGGUUAAUGGAAUGCUAUCAUCACUUACUUUGUUGGAUAUAAUACCUGUGGAACCAAGUUAGCGGGUGUAAACCAGUGGGCUGUUAGUUAUACAGUCAAAGAUUCAUUUGACAGGAUGGUCAAAAUGGUGAGAUCAUUGAAAACUUUUGAAUUACUUUAUUGUUGCGGACAUUGCCAUUGGUGAAAAGUAUGGGUAUAAGUGUGGUGGAUGGGCGGGUACCGCAUCAAAUCUCCAGGCAGGAGACCAGAAUCCAAUAUGGACAUGCAAUUCAUUUUCAAGUUUUUAUUUUUAACCACGAUCUUUAUCUAACCUUAACAAAGUGUUUUAGUUGCCUAUGAGUCUCAUAUCAGCCAUUAUUUGCCAUAACAAAAAUAUUUUCUUAACCUUAACCAUAGCAGUUGCUAUGUGUAGGUAUUACAAAUAGCAUGAAAAAAAUACGUGAAAGGGUGUCGGAGGCUUAGUGGUAGAGCAGGCGCCCCAUGUACAAGGCUGUUGCCGCAGCGGCCCGGGUUCAACUACAGCCUGUGGCCCUUUGCUGCAUGUCACUCCCUCUCUCUCUCUCCCCCUUCACGCUUGUCUGUCCUGUCAAAUAAAGGCUAAAAAAAAAUGGCCAAAAAAAUAUUAAAAAAAAUCAAAUAAAAUAUGUGAAAUACCUGAAAUGGACACAAACUCAUAACAAAGCAUUGCAUGGUGAGGGGCAGGAAAUAUGUUAAAAUGAUGUGCUGGCAACACAAAAACAAUGCUGAUGACAAGUCUAUUAUGAGUGGUCGCAGUUUCGUUGUGAAACGGUCACAGUUUGGUAGGUUUAGGGAGAGACAAUGACUUGGUUAGGUUUAGAGAACAAAAAAAUACUUGGUUAAGUUUAGGGAAAGAUGGUGGUUUCGAUUAAAAUAACUACAUAUUUAAUGUAAAUUUAUGUAGCCUACUUAGUGUAGUUGCACAUAGUAGUUAUUAGUUAUUUGCAUAUUUACUCAGUGUCAUGUAACUACGUUGAGUUUUGGUUUCACAUGGCAAGCUAAAAGCAGUCUCCCGGUUGAAAGUCUGUGAUUGUUUGACCCAUCCAGCACCACUCCCACUCCCACCCACCGUACCCAGGCUUUUUCACUCUUUAUACUUAAUUUGUGUGUCCACCAAGACAAAAGGUUCUCACUGACUUUGCUUUGGCCUUGUUUUUGUGUUGCCAGCACAUCAUUUUUAACACAUUUCAUACCCCCCAUCACAUAAUGCAUUGUUGAGAAGCCAUGUCCAUUUCAUGUAUUUCUGUAACACCAGGCUGGAUAUUACAGACAGCAAAUUAUUUUAAAAAAACUUUGGCAUUGGAUGUAAAAAAAAUAAUGUGAUUUAUUAUAAGCCAAAGUUUUCCAGGAUCAGUGUUCUUGUCCUCUAAUAGGGUUGAUUGUGCUUUAGUGGUGCAUGUUACGAAAGACAUCUUUGCUGUUUUAUUUUUUGCCUCAAAAAGAUCCUUGAAGAAGUUGCAUUGACUACUCAGUAAGAAACCACACUGCAGAGGCACCCUUCAAAAUUCAAUUUAGUAUUUAACAUUUCUAAAGUUUCUACCCCUUGUUGCCAACAUUUCUCUCUUUUCCAUCCAUUCACAACUCAGGUAUCAAUCUCUCCCUCUGUGCCCCUGUUCACCCAUGUUUCCUCAAAGACGUACUGUAUGUAUGAAAAAGGGAGAGAUGAAAAAAGACGAGUUUUUCCUCUCUUUUCUGUCCCAGUGAAUACCAUGUGCUUUGUUUUGCGGCUCUUGCCCCUACCUUCAAAGAUGCUAUUUUGCUUUCCUAGUCCACCCGUGCUUCCUGUCUUCUCUUUGUGUCAUUCCCUCGUCUUUCCACCCUCAAUGACUGUGUCCCUCUUUCUGUGAGACACACCAUCUGUUGUCCCCCCACCCUGAAGUCUCUCACAGCAAAAACCAAAAAGGAAUUGAGUAAAAUUGGAGCAUCUUCGCACCUAAAAAAAAAAAAAAAAAAAAAAAAGUUUUGCCAAACACUGGAUUUCACCGAGGAGGAAGACAGGAACGGACAUUUAAAUGACUGAAAAACACUGCAGUGGUAUAUUGUAGAAGGGAAGGAGGGAAAAAUGUGCUGUGAAAUGAUGUGUUCUGAGUGGAUUGUCAGCCGAGCAGCAUCAGAGGGAGGAGAUGGAGGAGGAAAAGUUUGGGGAAGACAGAAAAGUGUGGUGAUAAGGAGAAGGAAAGAAAGAAAGAAGCAAAAUCGCUUCUCCAUUGCUAAGUUUCUAACCCCCCCCCUGCGCCCCCCUUUUCUCUACAUGAAGAGGAAGACAAUGAACUUUAAACCACUGCUUCUUCAUCUUCCUCAACGGGAUUCACUGUAGAAAAAGGGAGGGAGAUAGAGAGAAAGAAAAAAAAGAAGACGGGUGGCAGAAAUCGUCCCUUGCACUCAGACCUGAACAUUUUUCAUCAUCUAUGUGACACAUUCAAAUGCAACUUGGGUGAUGAUCCUAAUGAAGAAAAUGGUUCUAAUCACAUAAAAGCUAUUUCAAGAUGGGGAGAGAGAACAUUUUCACCUCUUUUCAACUGCUUUGCAGAGCAAACCACAGCAUGGAUGCACCCAGUGUAGCAGCCAGAGGGCCUGUGACAGUUUGGGUUUGGAAACCAUACAGCAAGGAUGCCCGCUAUUUAUGUUAUGAGUUUUGCUUUACUACUUUUUUUUUUUUUUUUUCCAAGAAGCUUCAUUGACAACUGUUGAUUUCCAGUGGAUGUGCCAUUGUUUUGGCAUUCAAAGCACUAUGCAAGGUGAGGGGUGGUCCAUUGUGAUGUCUAACUGCUCUGUUGGAGUCCCAUCCAGUGUUGGUGCUGGGCUGCACAGGACAGGCUGCCCUGCUAAUCUCUGCAGAGCUACAGGACCUCUAACAGCAGGCUGAAAUCUACUCAUACAUAUCAGAAAACAUCAGCCAUAUCACAUGUAUAUUUGAUAUGAUCUUGAUCCUGAAUUUGGUAUAAUCUGAAUCUUCCACGAGACAGUUGACAUCUUGGGACUUCGUGAACAAUUGAUCAGUUUGAGAUCUUAUGUCAAAGAGCCAGUUUUCAUCCACCUUGUAAUGGAAUUAACCCAAAGACAGACAGAUGGAUGAACAUAUCAACUGGGGUGAACAAAAGCCCUCAAAGACAAGAAACAUCUGCUAAAGAAAAGGAGGUGUCACUGAAAACGGAGAUGUGAUUGACCCUCUUUCUCUCUUUCUCACUCUCUCUUUCCCUCUCAAGUGUUUACAGUAUCUUGACAGCCCCCCUCCCUGCAUCUCGCUGCUGCUCCUCCUCUUUAGCAAAACUGCAUGGCAUGAAUGAAACCAAUUAAAUCCCGCAGAAAGACAGUCAGAGACACAAUGGAUGGAUUAAAAAAAGGGGGAAGAGAGAACGGAAGGAGUCAAUGAGAAAGGGGGUGAGAGACCACAGAUUUAUUUUUUUUCAUGCAGCAAUGUCAAUGCAAAGUCAUCAUCAUCCAAGCUACUUUUUAAUCCCCUCAAAGUGGCUGCUAACAUGUACAAAACAGCAUCUCCUGCAGUGAACUACUCUCUCAAAAGGCAUGAUGGAUGAGGAGGAGCUCCCUCCCCCUCUGAGGGAAAGAGGAAGGGAGGAAGGAGAGUCUGCAGACCAUACACUCUAUACCUCUGGGGAUGUGGGGCAAGAAGAAAGAGGCUUUUUAAAGAAAGCAGGUAUUCAGCAGGAGUGGGAGAACAUCUUUGAGAACCUAUUCUAGGGACAAAAAAAUGGCAAUGAUUGCAAAUUAGAAAUGCAUUUUUAUGACAUUGUUUACCAGCAUGAAUAUUUUGCAUGACUUCUGCAAGCCAUUCUGAUCUCCCCCAUGAGUAACAGGGCUAGAAAUUGAGAAUUUAAACAUGAACAUUUAACAAAAUUAUGUUAUAUGCAACAGAUUAAAAAAGGGUAGGAUUAUGUUUAAAAAAGAUUUUAUCGAUUUUGUUUUUAAUGAUAAUACACAAAUAAUUAAGAAAAAAAGGGGUUGCAAUAUCUACCCUGUUUUGUUUUCUUUAAGAAAUCUUAGGAGACCCCCCACCCCUCCAAAAUCCAAGAAGACUCCUCCGAACUUCUGCAAGUAUUUAUUCUGCUACUACAAGUUUGUCUACUAUUACUUCAACUUCUCACCUGGCUGCAACUCUGCUUCUUCUUCCUCCUCCUCUUCUCUUUCUUCUUCCUCUUGUAGCCUUUUACCAGAACCCUUAUACGUAACUCUCUCCAAUGGCAGCUGUGUGUGUCUGCGUUACAAUGUGGACCCAGGACUAUCAAACUGAUGCUGAACUGAACUGUGCUGUCCACUCAGAGAUGUCACUGAGUCUGUGUGUUUGAAUUGAAAUUGCCUGUGUCCCAUUUUUGAAAACUUUUUCCUGACCUUGAUAUCCAAGUCAACAUCACACUUUUUAUGUUUUAGAAGGGUCAUAUGAAGUCUAGGAUCAAAAAUAAGCCAGGAAAAGGUAUAGAAGAAGGUUGUUACCCACAUAAUGAUCCAGGCAAUUCUGACAAGGUUCAAGAUGGCUGCCUCAUCAUCCAGGGCUGUUAUUCUAUCUUAGAUUUUUGUCCGUGAGAAUGUAUUGGUUCAUUUCCCCAAAGAUCAAAUGCUUUUUUGUAAUUUCCCUUCUGUAUUAUCAGUUAUCAGUUUGAAUUAAGCUUAAAAUUGAUACAUGUUCUAUAGGGGUUGAAGGGUUGAAAUCAUGACCUAAUUAUGUCAAUUAUAUGUACCAUUUGUGUGAACAAACACACACCAAACAUCCCACCAAAAUUCUGUGAGAUUUUUUUAACAUUCUCAAAGAAUAAAUUAAAUGUUAUCUCCCAACAUUAUGGUCUGAAAUCAAGGGGGGGGGGGGGUUUGCCUGAAAGGAAUCGGAAAGAAAACCAAAAAAAAAAAACCCACACAAAAUGUGUACAGACAGGCAGUUUAUCAGUAUGAACUUUGUCUGAUGAAGGUCUGAGGACUGAAACAUUGUGAUAAUAAAGUUAGGUGGGCAGUGUGCAUGAAUUUUUGGUUUUCUUUUUAAGUGAAGAGGUUUUCUUCAACAGUUUUGAAAUUACAGCCUAAAAACAAUCAAAUUGAAGCAAAAAUUAUCAGACUCAGCCCCCAAAAAACAAAUGUACUUACUUACUUAUAAUCAUAGACCAUAAAGUAAUUUCCCUCAUUCAUCGUAAAAAAUAGAGUAAAUGACCUCUGUGUUCUCAGUGGUAGCCGUGGACCUGACCAAACACAAGGAGAGACAAUAUGUAUUUCAGGAGAUUUGAAGUCUUCAUGGAAACAUCUCAUCUUAACACAGACUGAAAGCAGACAAAUUGAAGGGCGUCAUCUGCAAAUGUUUGCUCCGGUAGCUUUUUUUUAUGCAAUAGCUUUACCAAAUCUUCCCUUCGACUCUGUCAGUGAAUUGCACAGUUCCCUAAGGAAUUCACCUGUGUAGUGAAGGGGAGUGAUUAUUAAUAAACCCCACGUGAGUUAGCUGGAAUGUAGCCACAUUUGUUUGGUUAAAGAUCCCAUAUUUAAAAACACUAUAUUACAGUGGAGCUUCAUUCGAAGUGUAUUUAUUCACUGAAUGAAGUUGGAAAAUAAGUCAUCACCAUAUUAAUAUCUCCUUGGCUUUUAAUACCAAUUUUAUUGAUGAGCUCAGCUGACUCAAUGUGUAUCAAAAAUCACACCAAUCUCUUAUCAGUUCAUCCUUAAAAGUGAUCCCAUUUGAUAAAUGUUAUUAAUUGGUUGGUGAGGUAAUACGCAAUCACUCCAAACAAAGUCUCAUUUAAACACUGUGGUGAUAGUCCCACAACAAGUUGCUUUAACACUAAAAUAGGUUUGGUCUGUCACUUGCUAAUACAACUUGGUGAGACGAGGUAGGAGCAGAAGAGGCACACGUGUGCAGUGUACACUUCAUUUGUCAGACCAGCAUUAAUGAAUGAACAGCCGCACCUGUUGGUGGUGGUUCCCCGAGGGUGAGAGGUAGCCAUCUUGGCUAUAUGUGUUCAAGCAAGUACUCCUGUUAUGCAUGGCUGUGGGGAAUAAAGUAUUCUCACAAUCUCUGGACAGAUUUGGAUAAACUAAAUAAACAGACGAAAACACAUAAAAAGUUGGAAAUGCCUUUAAAGGUGGCAGAAGCACUUGAAAGCUAGCAGGUACUGGAAGAUGUGUCAUCACAAAAAAUGCUGUAAAUUGUGCUGGUAUUUUACUUUUGUCUUCUUUUUAUUUAUUUUUUAUUAUGCAUCUCGUAUGAACAUUAAUGUUUAUUUGUAAUGCUGUUUAGUAGCUCUCUGUUUAUUGGUAUUUAUGAGACUAUGUAUGCCCACCACUUGGGGAAAAUUGUUUGAACUUGUUUUGAGGCAUGGAUGGAUUACUGAACAGGCUUACCAGGCACAGGUCUAUAGGCUCAAAGGAUAGGGGUCCCCUGGAUGUGAGCCUCUCUUGUUGAAGUGACGGAUACCAUAUAUUCUUGGGAAGUUAAUCAAAUGGCUACAAACAGACACAAAAUGACCACAAAGAGACUGAAAAACUACUUCAAAGAGAAGCAAAAGGACUGCAAAGAGAUGGCAAAUGACUACAAAGAGAAUGAAAAACCACUGCACAGACACAAAAAUGACUACAAAGAGAAGAAAAACCUUUACACAGGGAUUCAAAACAACUACAAAGAGACACAAAGUGACUAAUAAGAGAAGCAGAGGACAACAAGAGAAGCAAAUUGUCGGCAAAAAGACACCAAAUUAAGGAGACUCAAAACCUACUGCAAAGACACAAAUGACCACAAAGGGAAGUGAAAAGACUCAAAAACAUAUACAAAGACACACAAUAUGACUACAAGAGAAGUGAAAUGAAGACAAAGAGUUACAAGACUCAAAAACUCCUGCAAAGACAAAAUAUGACUUCAAGAGAAGCAAUCGAUUACAUGAGAAUGCAAAACAAUUACGGACUCAAAACUACUACAAAGACACUCUAAAUGACUACAAAGAGACACAAAACUACUACAUACAGUAGAUACUCAAACACCCAGAGACUUGGUCAGUUGGGCUUUUUAUAUGUCUGUGCCCAGGGGCCCGUUGAUCCAUCCAUGUUUUGUUUGUUUUGUUUGUUUGUUUGUUUGUUUUUAUGUGGCUGACAUACAGUAGGGCUAUAACAAACAUCAAACCACAAUGUUCUCAUGUAAUUCUGUAAUGUUAACAAAUGACAGAAAAGAACCAUUAGACAAAGUGUCCAGCUACCACGAUCAAAUCUGCACUCUCCUGUUGUCACUGCUUUUGCCAAAAUCACCAGCCAAAGAAGUUCAUCAGCUGUACUUCACACUUUUAAAUUAGGGCAGUCAAACUAAAAGAGUCUACCCUUGGACUGGACGCUCACAAAAAUGUUAUCGUCACAUUGCUGGGCUGCGAGGGGAAGAAAAUUUCUAUGAGAAGGAACUUAAGACUGACAUUUUUUGUACUGACAUGAAUUCUCUGACCCUGGAACCCAUCUCAGAUUUUCUAAUGUUGAAAUUGGCAAUUUAUGCAACCUGUGCCAGGUCUGCUACUUUACCAUGAUAGAUUUUGGUUUAUAUACGCAGUAAAACCUUUCUUAACUUUGAUUAUCUUCACAUUAUUGUUGAGCACAGCAGAAAAGGUCCUUUGUGCACUUAAUGAAUUACAGAUUUGGGAAGUCCUAGGCACUUCAGGACUUUUUAAGUUUGCAAACUGUGUGAAUGUUUGAAAUUUUCAAAAAUUGCUCACUGGAUGGACAAAAUUGUUUAAUCUUUGCUUGUCAUUAAAAAAUUACAAAUUGUAGCAUUUACAGCAUGUGCAACCACAGCAACCAAACCCGAUAACUUGAAGGGGCCAGGGCUGAAAAGUUCUAAAUCCUCUAGCUGGUUAUAUAUGAGGUUUGGUUUGCACUAUGUUGUGCAUUGUGGGGACCAAAAAGGUUUCUAGUUGAUAUCCAUACUCUGUUCAAAUGCCGUCACACUUCACAGCAGGAAAAAAUCAUAGGGAAUUAUUCAGACACACUUUCCUUUGUAUCAUUCUGGGGGAAUCUUAACAGAUACCAGGGAGCCAAAAAUCACAUAGAAAAUAGGGCUUAUCUCAGGAAUACACUGUUUCAAAAAUCUGAGAGGUGGAAUGUAUUAUGAUGCUGCAGUAUGUACUUUCAGGAAGGUUUCAAGUUGCAUAUAUUGAAUAUUAUGAUUAUUUUAAUGGAUCCCAACAACACUACUGAAGCCUGAAAGUAGAUUUUUCUGUCCUUUUGGUCUAAACUAUGUCCGAUUGUCCUAACACACUCCACUAGGUCUCAUUGCUUCCAGGGUGUUCUUUUUAUGUUGUUUUGUAUGUAACAGGAAUCAAUUCUGCUAUUUUAUAUCACUUGUCUUCCUAAAGGUGUAAAGUACAGCUUCAGAAAAUAAUAGAAAUAAUAGCCUACCAUGUACUGUACUGUAGCUAUACCAAGGCAAACACAACUUCUUUCAGUGUCAUUAAUCACUUUGUUGGUUUCUAUUGGUUUCAGCAUUUUUUACGUUGUUGCUGUUACUGUAGUUUUUGGGUUUACAUGUCAUUAAUGUUGUAUUUUGUAACACAUGCAAUUAUGAUGAAUUAUGAUCAUGAAGAUUAUAGGAAUGCAUCAAUUAAUGCUGUGCAGCAUGCAGUGAACAUAAAGACACCAGGGGCACCAGGUUUCAUGUCAGGUUUCAACAACUGGUUAUGUGUCUAAGAUGGGGUUUGGGGGAUUUAAUCAGGGGGCAAAUUUGGCCUUUAUGAAUAUCUGGUUGUACAUCUGUUACUGCAGAAUGAAUGAUACAAGGGGAUUUAUACCAUGGCCCUAACCCUUCACUGUAGAUGUAAAAUGUAAAGCCUUUGAGCAAUAAAACAGUAUGGGAUUGAGCCAACAAAGUUAAUAGACAAUAUCACCAACAAAACUGCCCAUAAAUUUGUGUAUCCCUACCUAAAGGCUGUGCAAGUGAAGGGGUUUUACAAAAACAAAUGCAAGUUAAGGUAUCUAAAUGUAACAUAGCAUCAAAAGAAGCUUCUUCUAAUUUAUUGAUUGUCCCUGAAGUUUGGAAUCUUGUAAGAGACAAAUUUAAGAAAAAAGGACACAAAUUGCAACAGCUGAGGCCAAGAUAGUGUUUGUCAUUACACCCACAUCUUUUAAACUUCACGUCAGUAGUUUGCAACGUUUGCUCAGUUGACAGCAGUCAUGCUCAACAUUUUGGUGUGAUGAAGAUUAAUUCUAUUAUGACUAAGUCGAUUGGUUGAGACCUCAUGGAAACAUUGGUCAAACCAGAAACUCUUCUAGGUAUUCAGCUCGCAGCCUUUGUGCUGUCCCUAUUCAAAAUUCUGUAGUCCUCAUGAAAUAAAUACAUGAAAUAAGUGUAAAUUUACAUAGGUUUGACCUGAGUGGAGAGCAUAUCGUGUGUAGAGGCCACAAAUUCUUUUUUUGCAAUGAAAAAGCACACAAGAGCAGAAAUUGCAAAAUAGUUUAUUGACACUGAAAGACUGAAUUUUUUCACUCCUCUGGCACCCUGCAGAAAUUACCUUUGUUGCUCAGUUUAAGAACACUUAGCAGGCAGAGCAAAGAUAGUCGAUGUCCCCAAUAUCUUGUUUGAUACUCCACAGUAUGGAACACAAAAAAUCUCAGAAUAUAGGUUCAACCCAGCAUCCAUACAUUUCCUUAGGCAUGUUGCUUCAGAAAUCAACUUCAGUAAGUCAUAAUAGAGAUUGGUAGGGCAGUGGUAGAAGAAGAAGAGGAAGUGAUGGCAGCGCAGUUCUAGAGAGACAAAUAUAAACCCUGAUUUUUCCACUGCAGUGUAGUGGGGACAGAGCAAUAAUGGUAUAAGAUCUUUUUUAGGGUUUUGGUUAUGUGUGCGUACCAGUGUGUCUGAGAUUGUGAGUGUUUGUGUAAUUGUGAUGUGUGUGUAAGAAAGGAAGCGUGCUGUGCAAACUGAGCUAAGCCACACCCCUGUGAGACGACUAACAGCUGAGCUAACCAAUAUUGCAACUUUACUUGAAACCCAAACAACGACUAAACAUAUCAGGACAAGAUGCAGAGGAGCUGCUCUGCCCACUGUCAUCCCCAUCCCCCCACCCCCCACCCCCACCCCC